rnacentral:rRNA from 1 species
UACAGAGGGUGCUAGCGUUGUUCGGAUUCAUUGGGCGUAAGGGUGCGUAGGCGGCGCGGUAAGUCGGGUGUGAAAUCUCGGGGCUUAACUCCGAAACUGCAUUCGAUACUGCCGUGCUUGAGGACUGGAGAGGAGACUGGAAUUUACGGUGUAGCGGUGAAAUGCGUAGAUAUCGUAAGGAAGAUCAGUGGCGAAGGCGGGGUCUCUGGACAGUUCCUGACGCUGAGGCACGAAGGUCAGGGGAGCAAACGGG